CACGCCGUAAACGAUGGGUACUAGGUGUUGGGGGUAUCGACUCCCUCAGUGCCGCAGUUAACACAUUAAGUACCCCGCCUGGGGAGUACGGUCGCAAGACUGAAACUCAAAGGAAUUGACGGGGGCCCGCACAAGCGGUGGAGCAUGUGGUUUAAUUCGACGCAACGCGAAGAACCUUACCAAGGCUUGACAUCCCUCUGGCCGCUCUUUAAUCGGAGCUUUUCUUCGGAACAGAGGAGACAGGUGG
rnacentral:rRNA from 1 species